GAUGAACGCUGGCGGCGUGCCUAAUACAUGCAAGUCGAGCGAACAGAUAAGGAGCUUGCUCCUUUGACGUUAGCGGCGGACGGGUGAGUAACACGUGGGUAACCUACCUAUAAGACUGGAAUAACUCCGGGAAACCGGGGCUAAUGCCGGAUAACAUUUAGAACCGCAUGGUUCUAAAGUGAAAGAUGGUUUUGCUAUCACUUAUAGAUGGACCCGCGCCGUAUUAGCUAGUUGGUAAGGUAACGGCUUACCAAGGCAACGAUACGUAGCCGACCUGAGAGGGUGAUCGGCCACACUGGAGCUGAGACACGGUCCAGACUCCUACGGGAGGCAGCAGUAGGGAAUCUUCCGCAAUGGGCGAAAGCCUGACGGAGCAACGCCGCGUGAGUGAUGAAGGUCUUCGGAUCGUAAAACUCUGUUAUUAGGGAAGAACAAAUGUGUAAGUAACUGUGCACGUCUUGACGGUACCUAAGCAGAAAGCCACGGCUAACUACGU
rnacentral:rRNA from 1 species